rnacentral:rRNA from 1 species
AUUUUCCGCAAUGGGCGCAAGCCUGACGGAGCGACGCCGCGUGGGGGAUGACGUCUUUCGGGAUGUAAACCCCUUUUCGAGGGGAGGAGGAAGGUCAGUACCCUCGGAAGAAGCCCCGGCGAACUACGUGCCAGCAGCCGCGGUAAUACGUAGGGGGCGAGCGUUGUCCGGAGUGACUGGGCGUAAAGCGCGCGCAGGCGGUCGUGUGCGUCGGGCGUGAAAGCCCCCGGCUCAACCGGGGCGGGUCGCUCGAAACGGCGCGACUGGAGGCCGACAGAGGGGGGUGGAAGGCCGGGUGGAGCAGUGAAAUGCGUAGAGAUCCGGCGGAACACCGGAGGCGAAGGCGGCCCCCUGGGGCGGACCUGACGCUGAGGCGCGACGGCUAGGGGAGCGAAC